CGGAGCAGCCCGGCGGGUCGGGCGGGUCAUAGUCCGUUGCCAUGGUGACCUCCUGUAAACGCAGCGACGGUCGAAGAGUCCUGAAGAUCCGCAGCUUCACCCACAGGUAGCUGUUGUCAUGGCAGCGGGGGCGGUGUCAGCUCCACUCAUCAUUCCAAUGAUCCAACCGCAGACAAACAGAGUCAAGAACCACAUUGACACCAGCACACCUGUCUGCCUCCAGUCAGAUACUCCAGGUGUGCAGAUCUUCUACACUUUGGACGGGUCGCGGCCGGCAGCGUCCAGCAGGAGCUACAGAGAACCGGUGCUGCUGCCUGCAGGUCGGGUGUCUGUCAGAGCGCUGGCUGAGACCAGCGACGGCAGGCAGAGCUCCGUGGUGACCAAGGUGUUCUCUGUGGACCAGGCAGGUACCGGGACGGACCCGGAGGUCCUGCAGGACACACGGCAGCCUCCGUCUGAAGGAAUGUCCUGUCCUGCUGAGAACUCUGCUGCUUCACUGAGGCCUGCAGAGCCGAGGAUGAUGGGAAACUGUCCUCAGUCAGGUCUUCCUCUCUGUCAGCUCGGUUCUGGGACCCAGCUGGAGGGGUCAGGUGACCUGAGCGGCACGCCGGCGUCCCGCCUCCAGCGACAGACCGACUUCCUGCGGUGUCUUCAGUGCCUGGUCCUCCGUCCGUUGGACCCUCUGGCUCGGUUCUGUCCUCGGUGUGGAGCUGUGGUUCCUCCGGUUCCUGUUCAGAGGCUGCCCCCUGCUGAGGGAGGACAGAUGCUGCUGUGUGUAUUCUGUAACAGUCUGGUUCCUGUCAACACUGAGAACUGUUUGAUCUGUGGAGCUCCGAUCGAUGAGCAGCGGCUGGAGGGCCAUGUGUUGUGUGUUUGCUGUGGAAGUGGGAAUCCAGCCCACCUGUCCAGCUGUCUGACCUGUGAGACUCACCUGCAGCAGGCAGGUGUCGGUAGCUCCGCCCCCUCUGUCCCGUCAGCAGGUGGCAGGUGGGCAUCCUGCUCCAGGUGUCAGCGGAUGAACCAUAGCGACGCCAGAUACUGUGACUGGUGUGGCUCUAAGUGCGGACAUGCAGUCAGUUGUGUGGUGUGUUGGUGCUGUGGAGCUAACGGAGACCCAAAUGCUUCCUACUGUGGAUCCUGUGGGGUCUUCCUGGAAUCACCGGCCCCGCCCACAACCUACAGUGAUGUCACACCACCUGUUGGGGGCAGAGCCACUGGCCAGUCUUCUGUCUGUUUACAGGCCACGCCCUCAUCAGACCCCGCCCCCAGCGUGAAGUUAGCCCUGCCCACUGUGGAUCGGUCCACACAGACUGUAGGACUCUAUUACCCAUCAGCCACUGAGCUGCACAGGAAGCAGCAGCAGAGGGCGGAGCCACUCAGCCAAGACCCCCGACCGCCGCUGACCGCCGUCAGCCCAGGACGAGGUUACUGGAGGAAGCAGCUGGAUCAUGUGUGUGCUCACCUGAGGAGUUACGCCCAGAACCACGCCCCUUUCAGGGCUCUGCUGGGUGAACCUCGCCUGGGUCGGGUGGUUUCUGCCAUGGUUCAGGAGGAUCAGUACGAGGUCAGUCUGACCGUCAGCUUCGUGUCGGCUGGGAGGGAAACCAAACCGGUGAGUCCUGAAGAGGACGGAGCUGGACCGUCAGGCGGAGGGAUCGGACCGGUGGUUCGGGCUGAGAGUCUGAGCAGCGUUACAGAGCGAAGCAUCGACGGUCUCAGUGUAACGCCAGCGGGAGGCAGAGGAACGCUGCCGGUCAGACAGCGCUGGACAUGGCGCUGAGCUCCGGCUGCAGCAGGACGGUUUCUCUGCUGGCGGCUCGGACUGGACUGGACCUGCUGGGAAAACCCAAAGCAAACCUGGACGGGUUCUGACCUGUUUACCUGAAGAUGGAGAACAUCUGAGAUUCAGGAAGAACACCUGACACCAACAGCUAAUCAUCUCAGACCAGGUCAACCUGAGGAACCCACUGAGAUCAGAAACUCCUGAAGAAAACUGAAGAUCUGAUGCAUAUUCCAGAUCAAACAGCUGAUCAAUUGAUCAGGAAAUGACGGAUGCAGCUCUGAAGAUGAACUGAAGAAACUAGAGGUUGAACUUCAGGCCACAACAAAAGGAAUCAAACACUAAUUCUGAGCAGAGUUUCCUGGUUCAACCUGCAGCUGGAGUCAACAGAUCAUCUCCAGAACAGAAAUGAUUGUGAAUUUUUCUGGUUUCUAUGAACUGAUUUGAGGAAUGAACUCGAUCGCACUGAAGGUGGCGCUAAAUCAAAUAAACAGAAAACCAGAUGAGGUUCAAACAUUUAGAACAAAAUGAACUUAAAGUCUAAUGUUGAUCGUUUUAAAUGGAUCAUCUCUGAAAUAAUGAAUCAAUAAAUCUAAUAAUUCUAAAUGAUCUCA